GGGGUUUGUGAGUGGGCUCCAGCCACACACGACUUCGUGCCUGUGACGUUGGCUCCUCCAUCCGCCUCUUUCCUGGAGUGCAGCCUGAGUCACAGCUCGAAACUUCUCCCACCUUCUCCGGGUGGAGGGGGCUUCCCCAGUCUUGGGGUGCGCACCUCAGGCAACGACCCAUCCCUCACUCCCCUGUGCUGGGACUGCAUGGGAAGCUGGACUACACUCCUCAGCCUCCCUUGAAGUUGCAGUGAACUUAUGAUGGUUUGUUCUAACCACCGUAAGAUCAACUGACGUUUAUCUACAAGGAUUUUUAUCAGGGUUGUUUGAAACCAGGGGUCAGCAAAAUUGUUUCGUGACCAGUCAAGUAGUAAGUAUGUUGCUUUCUGAGCAACAAAUAAUCUCUAUCUUUUUUCUCUCCUCUGCCUCCUCCUUGUUCUCCAUUCCCUCUUCCUUCUUGUUUCUUUUCUUUUGUUUACACACAAAUAUAAAAUAUAAAAACCAUUCUUGGCCGGGAGCAGUGGCUUAUGCCUGUAAUCCUAGCACUUUGGGAGGCUGAGGCGGGCAGAUCACCUGAGGUCAGGAGUUCGAGACCAGCCUGGCCAACAUGGUGAAACCCCAUCUCUACUAAAAAUACAAAAUUAUCCAGGUGUGGUGGCGGGCGCCUGUAGUCCCAGUUAUUCAGGAGGUUGAGGCAGGAGAAUUGCUUGAACCUGGGAGGUGGAGGUUGGAGUGAGCCAAGACUGUGGCACUGCACUCCAGCCUAGGUGAUAGAGUGAGACUCCGUCUCAAAACAAAAACAAACAAACAAAAAACAACAACAACAACAAAACAGUCC
rnacentral:lncRNA from 1 species